AAACAAUCGCCGGUUGAACGGAAAUCAUUGAUGUUGAUUAAUAAAAGAUUAUUCUUAUUGUUUA
rnacentral:tRNA from 2 species